GGUCAAGUGACUACGGCGCACGGUGGAUGCCUUGGCACUUCGAGCCGAUGAAGGACGCGGUAUGACUGCGAUAAGCCAGGAGGAGCCGUCAAGCAGGCUGAUCCCUGGAUUUCCGAAUGGGGCAACCCGAUGGCGGUCAUGCGCCAUCACCCCAGGCUGAACACAUAGGCCUGGUGGAGGUAAGCGGGGGAAAUGAAACAUCUAAGUACCCCGAGGAGAAGAAACAAUUCCGGUAGUAGCGGCGAGCGAACCCGGAGCAGCCCAAACCGAUUGAGCCUAAUGGAGCCCUCUCCUCUGCUCAGCCGGUGUUGUAGGGCGUUGCAUUCGCACCGAGGGUGGUGCGACAGCAGUUACAAACUGCGCGGGUAGGCGAAGGUCCCUGGAACGGGCCGCCACAGACGGUGAGAGCCCGGUAGCCGACACCCGACGCAGCUGCUGGUAGCGUCCCUGAGUACCACGCGACACGGUGAAAGCGCGUGGGAAGCUGGGGAGCCCACUUCCCAAGGCUAAAUACUCGAAGUGACCGAUAGCGGACCAGUACCGUGAGGGAAAGGUGAAAAGAACCCCGGGAGGGGAGUGAAACAGUUCCUGAAACCGUGUGCUUUCAAGCAGUGAGAGGCCCGUAACCGGGCUGAUCGCGUGCCUAUUGAAGAAUGAACCGGUGAGUUACGUUUUGUGGCGAGGUUAAGGCAUUCUGUGCCGCAGCCGCAGCGAAAGCGAGUCUGAACAGGGCGAAGCGAGUCGCAAGACGUAGACCCGAAACCAGGUGAGCUACCCAUGGGCAGGGUGAAGCGGGAGUAAAGCCCCGUGGAGGCCCGAACCUUCUUCAGUUGCAAAUGGAUUGGAUGACCUGUGGGUAGAGGUGAAAUGCCAAGCGAACCUGGCGAUAGCUGGUUCUCCCCGAAAUGCCUUUAGGGGCAGCGUUGUCGGAAACGACCGUGGAGGUAGGGCUCUGACUGGGUACGGGGGCGGAAAGCCUACCAACCCCUAUCAAACCGCGAAUGCCACGGCCGAACCGACGGCAGUGAGACUGUGGGGGAUAAGCUUCAUGGUCAAAAGGGAAACAGCCCAGACCGCCGGCUAAGGUCCCGAAAUUUCCGCUUAGUGGGAAAGGAAGUCCAGUCGCGCAGACAACCAGGAGGUUGGCUUAGAAGCAGCCAUCCUUGAAAGAGUGCGUAAUAGCUCACUGGUCGAGUGAUUGGGCGCCGACAAUUCAACGGGGCUCAAGCGGAGUACCGAAGCCGCGGAUCUGGUCUCAGCUUGCUGAGAUCAGGUGGUAGGGGAGCGUUCCGUUCAGCAGUGAAGGCGGACCCGCGAGGGCCGCUGGAGCGGACGGAAGUGAGAAUGCCGGUAUGAGUAGCGAAAGGCGUGUGAGAACCACGCCCACCGAAUACCUCAGGGUUCCUACGGCAGGGCAAUCCGCGUAGGGUUAGGCGGGCCUAAGCCGAGGCCGAAAGGCGUAGGCGAUGGACAGACGGUUCAUAUUCCGUCCCCGCUGAGUGUGUGCCUGAGCGACAGGGGCGACCCGGGAAGAUAGCGUGAGCGGGCCUAAUGGACAUGGUCCGUCGCGCCGCGUACGCGUCGAGCGGGGUUCAAAGACCGCUCGGUUAAGCAGAGGCGGCGCGGAAGCGGCGACGUCAGUCAAAGCGACUCGUGUGACACCCUCGGCCAGAAAACCCUCGGUCGCGAAUACAUUCAGCGCCCGUACCGCACACCGACACAGGUAGGUGAGGGUAAGUACCUCCAGGUGGACGAGUGAUUCCUCGCUAAGGAACUCGGCAAAAUAGUUCCGUAACUUCGGGAGAAGGAACGCCUCGCGGCUGGUCCCCGACUCGCUCGGGCGAACGGCCGGAGGCCGCAGCGAGCAGGCCCAGGCGACUGUUUAACAAAAACACAGGUCUCUGCGAACGCGAAAGCGGACGUAUAGGGGCUGACGCCUGCCCAGUGCUGGAAGGUUAAGGGGAGGGCUUCACGGCUCGAACCGAAGCCCCAGUGAACGGCGGCCGUAACUAUAACGGUCCUAAGGUAGCGAAAUUCCUUGUCGGGU
rnacentral:rRNA from 1 species